rnacentral:rRNA from 1 species
GAUGAACGCUGGCGGCGUGCCUAAUACAUGCAAGUCGAGCGAACAGACGAGGAGCUUGCUCCUCUGACGUUAGCGGCGGACGGGUGAGGAACACGUGGAUAACCUACCUAUAAGACUGGGAUAACUUCGGGAAACCGGAGCUAAUACCGGAUAAUAUAUUGAACCGCAUGGUUCAAUAGUGAAAGACGGUUUUGCUGUCACUGAUAGGUGGAUCCGCGCCGCAUUAGCUAGUUGGUAGGGUAACGGCUUACCAAGGCGACGCUGCGUAGCCGACCUGAGAGGGUGAGCGGCCACACUGGAACUGAGCCACGGUCCAGACUCCUACGGGAGGCAGCAGUAGGGAAUCUUCCGCAAUGGGCGAAAGCCUGACGGAGCACCGCCGCGUGAGUUAUGAAGGUCUUCGGAUCGUAAAACUCUGUUAUUAGGGAAGAACAAAUGUGUAAGUAACUAUGCACGUCUUGACGGUACCUAAUCAGAAAGCCACGGCUAACUACGUG